rnacentral:rRNA from 1 species
UACGUAGGGUCCGAGCGUUGUCCGGAAUUAUUGGGCGUAAAGGGCUCGUAGGCGGUUUGUCGCGUCGGGAGUGAAAACACUGGGCUUAACUCAGUGCUUGCUUUCGAUACGGGCAGACUAGAGGUAUGCAGGGGAGAACGGAAUUCCUGGUGUAGCGGUGAAAUGCGCAGAUAUCAGGAGGAACACCGGUGGCGAAGGCGGUUCUCUGGGCAUUACCUGACGCUGAGGAGCGAAAGCGUGGGGAGCGAACAGG